rnacentral:rRNA from 1 species
AAGACUGACGCUCAGGUGCGAAAGCGUGGGGAGCAAACAGGAUUAGAUACCCUGGUAGUCCACGCCGUAAACGAUGUCAACUUGGAGUCUGUGCCAUUUGAGCGCGGGUUCCGGAGCUAACGCGUUAAGUUGACCGCCUGGGGAGUACGGCCGCAAGGUUAAAACUCAAAUGAAUUGACGGGGGCCCGCACAAGCGGUGGAUCAUGUGGUUUAAUUCGAUGCAACGCUAACAACCUUACCUACCCUUGACAUAGCAAGAACUUUUCAGAGAUGAAUUCUCGCCUUCGGGAACUUGCAUACAGGUGCUGCAUGGCUGUCUUCAGCUCGUGUCGAGAUAUGUUGGGUUAACUCCCGCUACGAGCGCAACCCUUGUCCUUUGUUGCCAUCUAUUCGGUCGGGAACUCUCAGGAGACUGCCGGUGAUAAACCGGAGGAACGUGGGGACGACUUCAAUUCAUCAUGGUCCUUACGGGUAGGGCUACACACGUGCUACAAUGGCGCGUACAGAGGGCAGCGAACUUGCGAGAGUAAGCGAAUCCCAAAAAGCGCUUCGUAGGCCGGAUCGUACUCUGCUACUCUACUCCCUGAACUCUGAACGCUAGUAGA